rnacentral:rRNA from 1 species
AUUGAACGCUGGCGGCAGGCUUAACACAUGCAAGUCGAGCGGAGAUGAGGUGCUUGCACCUUAUCUUAGCGGCGGACGGGUGAGUAAUGCUUAGGAAUCUGCCUAUUAGUGGGGGACAACAUUCCGAAAGGAAUGCUAAUACCGCAUAUGCUCUACGGAGGAAAGUGGGGGACUCGCAAGGGCCUCACGCUAUGGGAGCGGCCGAUGUCCGAUUAGGUAGUUGGUGGGGUAAAGGCCAACCAAGCCGACGAUCGGUAGCUGGUCUGAGAGGAUGAUCGGCCACACUGGGACUGACACACGGCCCAGAGUCCUACGGGAGGCAGCAGUGGGGAAUGUUGGACAAGGGGGGCAACCCUGAUCCAGCCAUGCCGCGUGCGGGAAGAGGGCCUUCGGGUUGUAAACCGCCUUUGUCCGGGAAGAAAAGGCCUCGGCUAAUACUCGAGGUUCUUGACGGUACUGGAAGAAUAAGCACCGGCUAACUACGUGCCAGCAGCCGCCGUAACAC